GCCGGUGAAGCACGAGACGCGGGCCUCGUUUCUUUUCUCUCACGUUGAACACAGGAGGCUUUCUCUGCCGUCGCCUCGGAUUGAUGAUUUUCAAAGAAAGCAGGGAAGCUUUAUAAUACGCUGCCCUUCACUGGGUCCAGCUCCCCAGUGAGUGAGGGGGAUUUUCAAAGGGCCAGCAGAGGAGAGAUGAGCUGCACAGAUAAACAGU